GGAACAUUUGCUCUUUUAGUAUUUAUCCAGUAGGUUUUCUCAAGGAGAAACUCCCAGUAAUAGACACCAAAAAUGGAUAUAUCACAUUAUCUGGUGUACAAUCUUAAACUAACCUGAACCCAGCUUGUCAGCUGCCAGUUCUGUGUCGUCAGUAGCCUACCAUGAGUUGAUCCAAAAAUAAUUUACAUUAUACACAAGUUAACUUGGGAUUUAAAUGCAAACAGAAUUUCAAAGUUAAUGGUGUCCUUUGUAGCAUAUGCCGCUCCAGCUCAGGUCACUGUACAGAAGUUGCAAUACAAGAUUUAGAUUUAUAAUGUCCUCGAAAUGUGUUAGACAUCUAUUGAAUCAAGAGCGGCACUUUCCUCAAACAGCUCUAUGCAUUGAGUUAAUGUGUUUUCUUCUGAUUUCAGCCUUUAACAUAAGCUCUCCCUUCCUGGCAGCGAUUGUUGGAGCUGAAAGAAGCAGAGCCGCCUUAUCUUUCAACUCCCUCUGCUUAAAUACAUCCUCUGAAUGAUCGUAAUUCUAUUGUAUUUUCAGACAGUUAUGCGGGGCGAGAUUAACCAAAUGCUUUCCUGUUCUCUUCUCUUGUAGUUGAAUGGAAUCAAGGAUUUGGCAUAGAAUUUAUUCUCACCCUCCAGCUUGUGUGUCAUAGCAACCACUGAUAGGUGGAGUGAUGUCGGAGGUUCUGAUGUCCUGCGCCCUUGGCGAUCAGGCCCUCAGUAGGUCUUGGAGUAAAUCAAAGCCAUUAUAUUGUUUUAAUCUACCCUGGAAACGAUUCAUGACUUGUAGUGCAGUGGUAUAACACAUUAAUUGGAUAAUUUACCUCACUAGUCUCAACGCCAGCUGUAAGACACCUGGGUCAUGAUCAGUAGGGCACACCGUAGAAAAAUGUUUUCAGACAUUACAUUUAAAAAAAAUACUAGACGUAUAAGAUACCAUUUUGUAUUUGUCUGUGAUGACUUAUACACCCUGCAGCAUGUUUGACUUCUUGUCAGAAAUAAAGCAUGGAAAUC
rnacentral:lncRNA from 13 species